CCUACGGGAGGCAGCAGUGGGGGAUAUUGGACAAUGGGGGAAACCCUGAUGCAGCGACGCCGCGUGUGGGAAGACGGUCCUCUGGAUUGUAAACCACUGUCCCCAGGGACGAAAAUGACGGUACCUGGGGAGGAAGCUCCGGCUAACUACGAGCCAGCAGCCGCGGUAAUACGUAGGGAGAGAGCGUUGUACGGAAUUACUGGGUGUAAAGGGAGCGUAGGCGGGGAUGCAAGUUGGGGGUCAAAACUACGGGCUCAACUGGUAGUCGCACUCGAAACUGCAGCUCUUGAGUGAAGUAGAGGCAGGCGGAAUUCCUAGUGUAGCGGUGAAAUGCGUAGAUAUUAGGAGGAACACCAGUGGCGAAGGCGGCCUGCUGGGCUUUUACUGACGCUGAGGCUCGAAAGCGUGGGGAGCAAACAGGAUUAGAUACCCUAGUAGUC
rnacentral:rRNA from 1 species